rnacentral:lncRNA from 1 species
AUGCCCCUUCCAAACAACCUUUGCCAUCAGAAAGCUGUUGGGGGAGGAUUUCUGCAGAGCUGGCGGUUCCAGGAGUUGCAGGGGAAAAUGCAAGAAAGGCAAGGAGAACUGAGUUGUGGAAUGGAUAAACACAUUGCCAAUUGCCACACAGGAAGCCCUCAAGAGAACUGGAGGAAGCUCAGAUUUGCUGAAUGUGAGAUCAAGUUCAAAGAGCUUAAUCUGAAUGGCUGAACGUAACACAGUGUCUUAGGACCUCCAGCAGAUCACACACUACCUGAGCUCUUGGGAGCAUGGACUCUCUGUAAGAGAAUAUAUACCUCCUUUUAUGUGUGAAGUGAAACCUGUGAGGUGUAACAUCUCCUGCAGCCCUGGAGAAGUCCUGGCUGUGGGUACGGUCUUCUAAAUUCCUGGAGCAAGCAUCUACAGCAUCACCCCUCCCUUCAGCUGAGCAAUACAAGGGGUUCACCACCACCUCUGAGAUUUCCCUGCCCCAAUUUGCAAAGCCGACUCUGAAAGUAAACAUGCACCACAGCUGCACCACUGCCUUUCUGUCAUCUCAUAGUAUAAGCAACAGCUAAGCACAGGGAUCAGAAUGCUGUGUAUUCGGAAUAUCCAACAUAGAGGUGAAUCAAAGAAGACGUGGGGUUUUUUUUGUUUUUGUUUUUUUUUUAAGUCUUAUGCAUUCACAUGAUCAUGGGACAGUAUUUGAAUUGGUGAGAGACUGUGAAAUCUUACAUUUCAUUU